UACGUAGGGACCAAGCGUUGUUCGGAUUUACUGGGCGUAAAGGGCGCGUAGGCGGCUUAACAAGUCACACGUGAAAUCCCCAGGCUUAACCUGGGAACUGCGUGUGAUACUGGAUGGCUUGAAUUCGGGAGAGGGAUGCAGAAUUCCAGGUGUAGCGGUGAAAUGCGUAGAUAUCUGGAGGAAUACCGGUGGCGAAGGCGGCAUCCUGGACCGACAUUGACGCUGAGGAGCGAAAGCUAGGGGAGCAAACGGG
rnacentral:rRNA from 1 species